ACUCCGUCAUUAGCGCGUGGAGAACCGAUUUGGGAUCUCUAUUAUUCGGUCUCCUUCUAGUUACCUGGGUACCUGUCCGGGUUGCUUCUCCUGAGCACCGUGUCCACGUCGUAAUGAUGCAGGUAUCCCGAUGUGGGACCGUGGGAGUACGAAUGCCACAAUGGCUGGCCUGCAGAGGAACGGGUCCUCCCAGAACGAAUCAUUUCUUGGGAUCGCGAUCUACAGCCAUUACUGCUGCCAGUCGCACUGAUGAAUGAUGAUGCAUCAAACUGCGAAAUUUGUUGUACAGUCUGUAGAAGCGGUAUUCGGUUCGGACAGCCCGCUACGCCCGGCCAGGAGCGGCAGGAGCAGCACCCACCGCUGUCCUGUUUGGAAGUGGUGCGGUUCGAAAGUUCGACGUAACGCAGCAAACUUCCGCAUUGCACCACUACCGAGUCAGCCGUUCAUGGGAAAACACCAGCGCGAUUCACAGUUCUGUGUGUCCACAGCCUCCCGUUUAUUUUUUUUAACGCAGUUUCAAAGAAGCGUUACUCAUCACAGAGUACUCAGCACAGAGCACGUUGAGCAAUCUGACGACCGCAAAAUAUUCCACUCAUCUUUUUACCACUCGAAACGCGCCGGAUGUGGAGGAGAAUCCUCUGUACACACAGCAGCCGCCUACCUGGUCGGCUCAAGCUCAAGCACAAAUAUUUUACCUUCGCCAACAGCGGCGAUGGUACAGUGACUGUGCUACGUGGAGCUCACUCGGUAGCCAGCGGUUCGAUUCCGCUCCAUCGCCAUUCUUCGGAAUUUCCUCAACAGACAGGAUCUUCAUCUGACCGCACUCCCUCGUUGAGAUCACCACGGACAGCCGACCUAUGGCUGCCUCUGUGAUACGGACUUACCUGACGAGGAAGGUACGGUAUCUGACGGCGUCGAGAACCGGCUAAUCGGCGGAGGCGAAACGCUGCAGCCGAGGCAGUGCCUGGCCCACAUCCGACAGCUGCCCAUGAAACACAACACAAUGAUUAUCGCGGAUCAUGCUGGCGCGCGCACUACUCUGUAUAUCCUAUUUCCACUUAGUCUCGCUUCACAACGCCUAGCUCCUGACGCGCACGAGCGACUUACUUUAACUUGACACGAAAUUUUGUGGAAAUCAGUUUCCUAUCGAACAGAUUCGAUGUUGCAUGUAACAUCCAUCCACGGUGAAAUAGUGCGAAUGCUAACACACAGUCGACCGCGUGUCGCUCAUUGUGCCACACGUUGUUUCCUAGCCCGGAUUCGCAUAAUGACCAAAUGAAUCCCACACUGAUAAAUCAUCAUCAUCCACGAUAGACUCUGAUCAUCAACGAUCAUCCACAUGACCACAUACUGUGACAUACACGACAAUCAUCCACACCUGAAUGCUAAACUAUUUUAGGUAUCUCGGAGCACCGAAUACCCAGAAAAUAAUGGCCAAGGUCGAAGUGGCGAUUCGGCAUCAUCGGCAGAUCUGGCUGGUCGUUCCUCCAAAUCAAUUUUCGACCACAAUUUAUUUUCCACCACAAUCCACAGUUCGCUUUCGCCCAGCAUAAUUCUGUAUUUAAUUGUGAGCCGGUGUUCAGUUUCUUGCCAAAUCGCAACGGAGAGCCGAAACCCGGGUGGCUCCCAGUUGUGGCCGGCCUGCGGCCAAAACUAGCCGCAACCCGGCCAAAACUGGGAAUUCGAUCCCGGCCAAAACUUGGAGCCAUCCAGUGGAAACUAACAAUGCCUGAUGAAAACAGCCCGUUGCCAACAGGCGCAGCUAGAUGCCAACGGAGCGCUCCUUUAAGAAACUUCAAUCACUUCAAUGGCACUAUGCUUUUAAUUACGUAUUCAGCAGCCGUCGAGGACGCUAAUCGGCUAAUGUCAUUAAAAUGAGAUAACCGUGGAGGCCAGUAUAUUUCUAUUUAAUUUUCACGCAGUGUUGCUGUAUGAAUAAUAUAGCUUUGUCAGAUUUUUAUGCAUUAGAACUGUGAGAUGAUUAUUGAUAAACAUUCAUUUAU